AAUCUAUAUAACGGGGACUAUUCAUCCACCUCAAAAUGUGAAAAUGGUGCUGAAUUUUUCUUAGCUUUGCUCUUCGUUGCAAGUUAUGGAUUGGGUGAAUUUUGCAUUCGUGCAUUUUCCAGACCCAUUGACCACAACAUCUGAUGGAGAAAAUAGUGGAAAUGGAAUGGCAUCUAAGUUUCCCAUGGAUCGUGGCAACCCGUGGAAUCUUGAGAAAUUUUGUUGAAGAAAAAUUUGCUGCCCCUUCCACCGAUGAUAGCAACAAUGUUCACUGUUUUGGCGGCGUGCCACCGGCGGUAGCAACAAAUUGAAGAGGAGACUGUUAACCAUUCUUAAACUUAAUUAACAUAUGUGGGCCAUACAACUUUUUUCCUAAUACAACUCUCCUUAAUACCCGUGCCGAAAAGAAAUGGGACAUGAUUAACGGGAUGGAGGGAGUAUAAAAGAGGAGUUUUUUCCCUCCAAUUUUCCCACUUUUUUCUCUGUCUCUUAUUCCACCAAUUUUUUCUCUAAUUUUUUAUUUUUGUUUUUUUUAUAUUUUAAUUCUUUUCUACAUAUUGUCAAAUUUGAUUCAUAAAAAAAUAUUCAAUAUAGAAAUUAAAUUUAAUAUAGUAUAAAAAUAAUUAAAAAUAAAUUUAAAAUGAAUAAAUUAUGAAAAUUUUAAAAUAUUUUUUUUUCAUUAUAAUUUUACAGAGUAACUCUUUAUUUAUAUUUUUAUAUGAAAAUAUUUAUUUAUUAUGAUACGUAUUACUUUAUAAUAAUAAUGUAUAAUACAAUAUUUUAUCACAAAUUAAUUUUUAAAUUUAUUUAAUAAAAAUAAUUAUCAUUACGCUUUAUACAAAAUUAAAAAUUUAUAUUUUAAUUUUAUUAAUAUUUAUAUUUAUUUAUUUAAAUAUAUCGUGUUCAUCAUACUUCGCACAAAUGGUGUUCCAAAGAAAAAAGCAAGGUCCCAACAAGCAACCAUUUUCCGUUUUCUCCUUUUCUUCCAAAACCUACGCUAAUCUUUCUCUUUGAAAAUCAGACUCAUGCUCGCUCACCCAUCUCUCUUCCUCUUCGCUGAAAUCGAUCAGCUAGGGCUUCGUCGAUGCGAUUCCCUCUCCGACGAAGCCGCGCCUGAGCGCCGCUCCCCUCGUCUCUUUGUUAUCUCUCGCCCAAACCUCACCCCCACGACGCCACUCUAAAACACCGCCGGCUCCUCCCUCAUCUCCGACGAUCGCAGCAAGGCCGCGACUGCCGCCUCCCUGUCUACCCUUGCAUCUCCUCUCUCCCGUUCUGGUCGGAACGGCAGCAGAGCCGCCGGGCCCCAAUUCUACACUUCACUUCCUAUCCCCCUUCGAUUUUCGGCGAACGCACGGCCAGAAGGCUUCCGCCACUGAGCCUUAGGUCCCCAGUCUCCCUCUUCCCUUCGCUCAGUCGGACGGCAGCCCAAGACACCGCCGCCGAUUCCAGCUUUCAAAUUUCCCCCUCAUUUCUCUCUCCCUCCUUUUCUUGCUUUAAAGUCAGAAGGCAGCAGUAGCCACCGCUGACGUCGUCUCUGCCCUUCCUCAGACGGACGGACCGACAGCGAUGAAUCGUCGCUGCCACUUGCAGCCAGACCCUCUCCCACAACAUAGACACACACAAGUUCGAAACUCAAGUCUAUUCGUUCUCAUUUGUAAAUCAUUAACAACUUAUUAAAUAAGAGUUACAAAGUUCAUAUAG